GGACUCGUGGCUCAGGGGUAGAGCGUCCCGUUCACAUCGGGAAGGUCGGAGGUUCGAGACCUCCCGGGUCCA
rnacentral:tRNA from 1 species